GUUGAACGCUGGCGGCAUGCCUUACACAUGCAAGUCGAACGGUAACAGGUCUUUCGGGAUGCUGACGAGUGGCGGACGGGUGAGUAACGCGUAGGAAUCUGCCUCAUAGUGGGGGACAACGUGUGGAAACGCACGCUAAUACCGCAUACGCCCUACGGGGGAAAGCGGGGGACCUUCGGGCCUCGCGCUAUGAGAUGAGCCUGCGUUAGAUUAGCUAGUUGGUAGGGUAAAGGCCUACCAAGGCGACGAUCUAUAGCUGGGCUGGGAGGACGAUCAGCCACACUGGGACUGAGACACGGCCCAGACUCCUACGGGAGGCAGCAGUGGGGAAUAUUGGACAAUGGGCGCAAGCCUGAACCAGCAAUACCGCGUGUGUGAAGAAGGCCCUAGGGUUGUAAAGCACUUUCAAUAGGGAGGAAAACCUGUCGGUCAAUACCCGGCAGCUUGACAUUACCUAUACAAGAAGCACCGGCUAACUCCGUGCCAGCCGCCGCCGUAACAC
rnacentral:rRNA from 1 species